AAAAAAUCACAUAUUGGAAAGGGAGCAGAGGAGAGAUUAAUCUACAAUUUGACCUGUUAGAGAAAUUAAACUCAAAGUUCCCUUAAAUAUAACAAAAUUACUUCAAAAAUAAAUCAAGAUAUUUUAUUUUUAAAAGCAAAGAACCAUACAACAGAGGGCCAAGGAUAAUUCUAUCAGAGGACAAAGAUGGUUGCUUUUAAUUGCUCAGUUACUCUAUCCAGUGAUCCAACUUUGGCUUCAGGUUGCUAUAGCAAUUAAAAUGGGAAAACUGGAAACAAAGCUUAUUAAACUUCAUUUAAUCCAUUAUAUAUGGUUACAGCAACC
rnacentral:lncRNA from 1 species